AUAGAAGACCUUAAUCUAGAUACAUUUUAAGACUACAUAGACUUCCUAUAAACUGCUAAAAUUAAACAUAACUAUAAACUGUUAGUGCAGAUCGGUAACUAGUAGUAGUUACGGGUAUGUAUUUAGGAAACUAUUUUCCGUACCGGAAUAAAAUAUAAGUAGCUUGUGUAACCCGGUGAUAGACUAGCUUCAGUAUUUUUAGCCUUUAACAAAGAUUUAAUAAUCAAAAACAUAUCUAUAAUAAUAGCGUUAGUUAACCAUUGCAAAGAUCUCAAUAAAAUUACGAGUAUGACGUAUCUUCUACAUCCAGAGAUAAUGUUAAAUCUAGCGUUUGAUGAAACCCACGGAAAUAGCGGCAACAAUACGCCACACUCUACUUAGCUUUGAGGACGAUACCAUAAAUCAAUUGUUUAUGGUUGCAGUUUACUUCAAAAUUGUUGCUAUUGCAACUGCAGCGUUUAAGAUAGCGAUGAAAAUGCCUACAAAUAACACCAGUGUUGGGGUAACGAGGUGGUUAAAACUCUGCCGUCACUAUGGUCAACUCCCGCUUUUUUUGUCAGAGGAUUCCGAGAGGUGCCGACCUCAGACAUUUAUGUUCCUAAAACGAUUUAAAAUCGCACACAGUUGCACAAUCUGUGUACCGUGUAUGAAGCCUAAUGAAAUGAGCCCUAGAUGCGGUCCACCUGCAUCACAUUACCUACGUGGAUUAUAUGGAAACUGACCCGAUUAUAUUACACUUUCGCGGUAUCAACUUAUAUGCCACUUUCUUUGUGGGCACACUAUUUAUAGAUUAGUAGUGAAAUGGUGCAUUGUGCCAGAAGGUCCAGGGUCAAGCAAUAAUAAAGAAAAUUAAUUUC